rnacentral:lncRNA from 1 species
UCCAAACUCUCUCUAUUUUGUUUAAAUCAAACCCCCAAUUUUACAAUUUUCUCCUUACUUUCUCACCAUUUUUCUCUCUCUUACCCUCUCAAUCUCUCUUCCUAAAUUAUUCUUUUCUCACUUACGUUCAUUGCCUUUUUUUUGGAUUCUGUGUAUGCAAAUAAGUGUUGUGUAAUUGAAUCUACUGUGCAGUUUAAUGGUGUAUGCAAUGUAGUAAGUUUUUUUCGUAUUCCAGUGAAUGUAUGUACAAUGCGUAUAUGAAUAGAAUUCACUCUAUGUAAUGCUUAUUUUCUC